GACGAACGCUGGCGGCGUGCUAAUACAUGCAAGUAGAACGCUGAAGAGAGGAGCUUGCUCUUCUUGGAUGAGUUGCGAACGGGUGAGUAACGCGUAGGUAACCUGCCUGGUAGCGGGGGAUAACUAUUGGAAACGAUAGCUAAUACCGCAUAAUAGUAGAUGUUGCAUGACAUUUGCUUAAAAGGUGCGAUUGCAUCACUACCAGAUGGACCUGCGUUGUAUUAGCUAGUUGGUGAGGUAACGGCUCACCAAGGCAACGAUACAUAGCCGACCUGAGAGGGUGAUCGGCCACACUGGGACUGAGACACGGCCCAGACUCCUACGGGAGGCAGCAGUAGGGAAUCUUCGGCAAUGGACGGAAGUCUGACCGAGCAACGCCGCGUGAGUGAAGAAGGUUUUCGGAUCGUAAAGCUCUGUUGUAAGAGAAGAACGAGUGUGAGAGUGGAAAGUUCACACUGUGACG
rnacentral:rRNA from 1 species